rnacentral:rRNA from 1 species
UACGGGGGGAGCAAGCGUUGUUCGGAUUUACUGGGCGUAAAGGGCGCGUAGGCGGCCACCGCAAGUCGACUGUGAAAUCUCCGGGCUUAACCCGGAAAGGUCAGCCGAUACUGCGGGGCUAGAGUGCAGAAGGGGCAACUGGAAUUCUCGGUGUAGCGGUGAAAUGCGUAGAUAUCGAGAGGAACACCUGCGGCGAAGGCGGGUUGCUGGGCUGACACUGACGCUGACAGCGCGAAAGCUAGGGGAGCGAACGGG